rnacentral:lncRNA from 1 species
AAGAAACGUAGCAAAACAAAAAAUUUGAUCUCUUUCUGAUUCAAGAUUCUAAUUAUUAUUUUGUCUUUCUGAAAUAAAUAUAGGAAAUUAACUUUCCAAAUAAAUAUAAUUCCGAAUUAGGAUGAGUGCUCCUACUUUUAAUGAUGCAACUGAUGCAGAGCAGGUUGAGUUUAAAUUUUUUAUGUAUUCUGCAAUCAGCAUAUGCAGAAUGUACUUCAAACCCUCCUUUUAAUGGUUCUACAUAGUGAGAGUGAACCACUUAUUCACACAUUUUACGAAAAGCUUACAAAAGCUCCUUCCUCUAAAAUGGCUGCAGUUUGACGGAAAGUAUUUGGCUAUGCCCCCUGUACAAGUUAUCCACAGUAUACUUUUGCAAUGUGCAGUUACAGAGAAAAGAAGUCGGAAGCUGCGGAAAUGAUGCAGCUGGAUGGAUAUACUUUAGAUUAUGUUGAACUAGUGCUUGGUUAUAUUCUUGGGAACCUUCCGCCUGAAAAGCAUAACUUGGUAACUUUGAAGGGUCUGUUCUGCUCUUCUAGUACUGUUGAAAGAUCAAUCUCCAGAUGUGAGAAUCAGAGUAGCUGAAGCAUUGAGCUUAUUACACCAUUAUUGAGUUUAGACGACUUCCUUUGUUUGUUCUGCCUACAAGAACUGAAGAAAAAAAUGUGCUUGCAACCUUUUUUUAAAAAAAAACAACACAACAACACAUUUAUACAUAUUUAUAUACAGUUUUCAAUGUGUUGUGAGAUUAUUGUUAGAACAAGGAAUGCCAAUAUUAUAAAAACUUUUAUUAUCUGUUUAUUACCCAAAAUAUUUAACAACUAUGUGAACAGUUAAUUUUUAAUGUUUUACAAUUUUGUAUUAAUUAUUUUUAUUGCAUUUUUUGACUGGUAUGGUUUAAUGUAAAACAUACUAUGAAGGCAAAUGUAACUUAUUUGUUACUUUAUAAUUGCAAACAUAGUUACAUAACGUUUUAAAUAUGUUUAUUAUUAAAUGUUUUACACAUCUAAUUUUAAAUAAUUUUUGCAUAAUAAUCAAAAUUUAUGUAAUAAUGGCAGAGCAGAGAAAUAAAGUAUAAUAAAUAAAUAUAGCUUUAAAAGGUUAUAGGUUGUAAAUACAAUUAGAUAAAAAUACAGAAGAAAUAUUUUACAGGUACAAAAUGCCUUCAAAGCUUUAAUAUUUUGCCAAAGGCAACUAAGAAAAUCUAAAUCAUUGUUAGGUAAGAAUCAUGUUACAAUCAAUAGAACAACGAGCAUAAGUUUGACCAUCAAGAUUCUAUGGUAUUUCAUUCAAUUUGGUUGAUUAAAUGGAACACUGAUUUAUACAUACAUAUUAUACAUAUUUCAAUUAUACAUAGAUAUUAGUUUAUUAGACAACUGUGUUUCCUUUUCUCUAUGAAUAAUAAUUAUAUAUAUAUUAAAAUACUUUUGAUUUUUCUUCUUCAUGAAACUGGAGUGCUUUAUGCUUACCAUAGAGUACCUUAUACCUAAACUUUCCUGAGAUAAUGGGGUGCUUACCAAAAUACCUAAGGGACCAUUGUGGCCCCUCCUGUCAUUCUAGUUAAAAGUUCUAUAUAUACAUACAUUUCUAUUAAGCUAACUCAUGAAUGAUUAAAUGAGCUCUUAAAUUGGA